rnacentral:rRNA from 1 species
CUUGCUACUUUGCCGGCGAGCGGCGGACGGGUGAGUAAUGUCUGGGAAACUGCCUGAUGGAGGGGGAUAACUACUGGAAACGGUAGCUAAUACCGCAUAACGUCGCAAGACCAAAGAGGGGGACCUUCGGGCCUCUUGCCAUCAGAUGUGCCCAGAUGGGAUUAGCUAGUAGGUGGGGUAACGGCUCACCUAGGCGACGAUCCCUAGCUGGUCUGAGAGGAUGACCAGCCACACUGGAACUGAGACACGGUCCAGACUCCUACGGGAGGCAGCAGUGGGGAAUAUUGCACAAUGGGCGCAAGCCUGAUGCAGCCAUGCCGCGUGUAUGAAGAAGGCCUUCGGGUUGUAAAGUACUUUCAGCGGGGAGGAAGGUGAUGAGGUUAAUAACCUUGUCGAUUGACGUUACCCGCAGAAGAAGCACCGGCUAACUCCGUGCCAGCAGCCGCGGUAAUACGGAGGGUGCAAGCGUUAAUCGGAAUUACUGGGCGUAAAGCGCACGCAGGCGGUCUGUCAAGUCGGAUGUGAAAUCCCCGGGCUCAACCUGGGAACUGCAUUCGAAACUGGCAGGCUAGAGUCUUGUAGAGGGGGGUAGAAUUCCAGGUGUAGCGGUGAAAUGCGUAGAGAUCUGGAGGAAUACCGGUGGCGAAGGCGGCCCCCUGGACAAAGACUGACGCUCAGGUGCGAAAGCGUGGGGAGCAAACAGGAUUAGAUACCCUGGUAGUCCACGCCGUAAAACGAUGUCGACUUGGAGGUUGUGCCCUUGAGGCGUGGCUUCCGGAGCUAACGCGUUAAGUCGACCGCCUGGGGAGUACGGCCGCAAGGUUAAAACUCAAAUGAAUUGACGGGGGCCCGCACAAGCGGUGGAGCAUGUGGUUUAAUUCGAUGCAACGCGAAGAACCUUACCUACUCUUGACAUCCAGAGAACUUAGCAGAGAUGCUUUGGUGCCUUCGGGAACUCUGAGACAGGUGCUGCAUGGCUGUCGUCAGCUCGUGUUGUGAAAUGUUGGGUUAAGUCCCGCAACGAGCGCAACCCUUAUCCUUUGUUGCCAGCGGUUCGGCCGGGAACUCAAAGGAGACUGCCAGUGAUAAACUGGAGGAAGGUGGGGAUGACGUCCAGUUCUUCAUGGCCCUUACGAGUAGGGCUACACACGUGCUACAAUGGCGCAUACAAAGAGAAGCGACCUCGCGAGAGCAAGCGGACCUCAUAAAGUGCGUCGUAGUCCGGAUUGGAGUCUGCAACUCGACUCCAUGAAGUCGGAAUCGCUAGUAAUCGUAGAUCAGAAUGCUACGGUGAAUACGUUCCCGGGCCUUGUACA